rnacentral:rRNA from 1 species
AAAUUGAAGAGUUUGAUCAUGGCUCAGAUUGAACGCUGGCGGCAGGCCUAACACAUGCAAGUCGAACGGUAACAGGAAGCAGCUUGCUGCUUUGCUGACGAGUGGCGGACGGGUGAGUAAUGUCUGGGAAACUGCCUGAUGGAGGGGGAUAACUACUGGAAACGGUGGCUAAUACCGCAUAAUGUCGCAAGACCAAAGAGGGGGACCUUCGGGCCUCUUGCCAUCAGAUGUGCCCAGAUGGGAUUAGCUUGUUGGUGAGGUAACGGCUCACCAAGGCGACGAUCCCUAGCUGGUCUGAGAGGAUGACCAGCCACACUGGAACUGAGACACGGUCCAGACUCCUACGGGAGGCAGCAGUGGGGAAUAUUGCACAAUGGGCGCAAGCCUGAUGCAGCCAUGCCGCGUGUAUGAAGAAG